UAGGGAAUUUUCCGCAAUGGGCGAAAGCCUGACGGAGCAACGCCGCGUGAGUGAUGAAGGUCUUCGGAUCGUAAAACUCUGUUAUUAGGGAAGAACAAAUGUGUAAGUAACUAUGCACGUCUUGACGGUACCUAAUCAGAAAGCCACGGCUAACUACGUGCCAGCAGCCGCGGUAAUACGUAGGUGGCAAGCGUUAUCCGGAAUUAUUGGGCGUAAAGCGCGCGUAGGCGGUUUUUUAAGUCUGAUGUGAAAGCCCACGGCUCAACCGUGGAGGGUCAUUGGGAACUGGAAAACUUGAAUGCAGAAGAGGAAAGUGGAAUUCCAUGUGUAGCGGUGAAAUGCGCAGAGAUAUGGAGGAACACCAGUGGCGAAGGCGACUUUCUGGUCUGUAACUGGCGCUGAUGUGCGAAAGCGUGGGGAUCAAACAGG
rnacentral:rRNA from 1 species